UACGGAGGGUGCAAACGUUAUCCGGAAUCACUGGGCGUAAAGCGCAUGUAGGUGGUUUUGUAAGUGGGUGAUUAAAGACCGUUGCUUAACAACGGGAAUGUUGCCUAUACUGCAUGACUUGAGAAUAGUAGGGGCAGGCGGAACUUUGGGUGUAGGGGUGAAAUCCGUAGAUAUCCAAAGGAACACCAAUGGCGAAGGCAGCUUGCUGGACUAUUUCUGACACUGAGAUGCGAAAGCGUGGGGAGCGAUCCGG
rnacentral:rRNA from 1 species